rnacentral:rRNA from 1 species
GCCAUUCCAUGUCUUUGGGAGGCUGAUUCCCUCCUCGAGCAACCGGAAGAUAUUAGUGCCCAUAUUUACUCCUUCUACAAGGAGCUCUUCACGACGGGUCCCCGUGGAGGAGUUUCCCUCUCUGAGGAUUUCUGGCCACCUGAGGACAGGGUCUCAGAGGGUGAGAAUGAUGAUCUAACCCUCCCCUUCUGCCCUGAGGAGGUGGGGCGUGCUAUUGCCUCUAUGAAGGCAAGUUCUGCCCCGGUUUCGGACGGCCUCCCAGUAGCUUUCUUCCAGAAAUUCUGGGAGGUCCUGCAGCCGGUUAUCAUGCCUAUGUUCAAUGAAUUUUACAUUGGAACAUUCGCAUGUCUCGGAUCAACUAUGGUCUGA